GCAGAGAUAGCUUAAAAUAAGAGCGUUGGUCUUGUAAGCCAGAAGUGAAUAUGAUAUUCUCACUGCU
rnacentral:tRNA from 1 species